GUUUACAGAAUGGUACAAAGCAAGAUUUUAAGUGCCCAUCGGCACGGGCCGUAUCCACUGUACCGUACCGUGCCAACAAGAUACCGGUACGAUACAAACCCCGUGCUGAUGGCACAGCUCAAAACCCUCUAUUCUUUAAAUUAGUAAGUAAUUUUCUCAAUAAAGUUCAAAAGAUGUGAUAAAAAGACAUAAUAAAUAGUUAAAAUAUUUUGUUGCUAAAGAAAAUAAAUAUUCCAUGCUAUUAUGUGUCGGCACACAAGAAUUUUUUUGACCGGCACGGCUCCGCACGCAUCGUGCCGUACAGUGCCGGCAAGUUUCCGACACGAUCCCGUGCCACGGCACUUAAAUCUUUGGUACAAAGCGGUUUUUG
rnacentral:lncRNA from 1 species